GUAGAUGUAGUUUAGUAAAAACAUUAGAUUGUGAUUCUAAAAACAGGAGUUAAACCCUCCUCUUCCACC
rnacentral:tRNA from 1 species